GGGUCUUUGGGAACCAAAUUACUCCUUAAGAGGGAUGUACUCUGCUAGGCUGGGGAUCUGGUGGUAUUUUACAGUGUACUUUGUUGCACAGAAUUUUUCUUGAGGUUGUCAGGUGGCCCAGUGUCAAUCUAACCCAGUCCAUGACCAUCUUAGCACAUGAGUCUUAGAUUUAGGUGGGAAGCACUCUAAAAUCUUUCAAGUGUUUGAUCCAUGCUUACCAGUUUUACAUCUUUGGAUUCAAGAUUCUGCUUAGCAAUUGAUCUAUUUAAUCUUUAAAUGAGAAGAUUUCUUUAUAAAAGCAGCAGUUGCCCUAAUGACUUUUAAUAGUAUGACUUGUGCUACUUAGAUGAUGAUGUGCCAUUAGUUCAAACAGUUGUGAUUUCUUAUUUUCCAAGUCUCCCCACACUUUUUGCUGUGGAGUUCUCUUUACGCAUUCCCUAACUGCUGCCACCCAUUGUGGGUUCCCAAUAUAAGCUGUCUUGGAACUUUUCUGGGAAAUAAGUAUACACACACACAUUUCUUUUUCCCCUUACAUAAAGUUUGUUUGGAUCAGAACUGUGUACAAGGGGUCAGAGCUCAAAUCCCUAAGUGGCUUGCCCUUGGUUAUGAUGAGAAAAACAACAUCAAGGGUUCAGUGGGCUCUUUGCCUAUGCAUCUUGUCCCACAGGCCAUUGGAAGUCAGCUUGGGAUUCCAUCCUCCCCACCAAAGACUGUUACAGAUGAUCAAAGACGACGAUUUAGGCAAUCCAAACAAACUUUGACACUUGAAGCAGGCACUCUCCACUUGCAGGGGCCCAAAAUACUGCAAAGGGGAGCUGAAGACAGGAGAAUAAGGAAUAAGGAGCUUCUGAGCGAACUGAAAAGAAAGACUGGGUGCUUCAUCUUUGGUCCUGAUAGGAGAUUCAAGCCACACAAGCCCCUGACCUCACACGGGAACCCUCAGAUCUGGCUGCAAGAAAAACUCCAACCAAUCGCCUUGCCUGCUCUCCCAGAGACCUCAACUAUAACUAAGCAAUAAACUUUUCAUACCCUCUUGGUA